rnacentral:rRNA from 1 species
GACGAACGCUGGCGGCGUGCUUAACACAUGCAAGUCGAACGAGAAAGGGUAGCAAUACCUGAGUAAAGUGGCGCACGGGUGAGUAACACGUGACUAACCUACCUUUGAGUGGGGAAUAACCUAGGGAAACCUGGGCUAAUACCGCAUAAUACUUACGAGUCAAAGCAGCAAUGCGCUCGAAGAGGGGGUCGCGGUCGAUUAGUUAGUUGGCAGGGUAAUGGCCUACCAAGACUGUGAUCGAUAUCCGGCCUGAGAGGGCGCACGGACACACUGGAAC